GGAACCGUAGCCCAAUUGGCAGAGGCAGUAGGCUUAGACCCUAUCCAGUGUGCGUUCGAGUCGCACCGGUUCUACGC
rnacentral:tRNA from 1 species